GCCGGAGUAGCUGAGAUGGUGUAGCGCUGGUCUGAAAAGCCAGUCACGCGGGUUCGAGCACCGCCUCCGGCACCA
rnacentral:tRNA from 1 species